GGCUUAACACAUGCAAGUCGAGGGUAGCAGGUAGCAAUACCGCUGACGACCGGCGCACGGGUGAGUAACACGUAUCCAACCUUCCCAUAACUCAGGGAUAGCCUUUCGAAAGAAAGAUUAAUACCUGAUAGUACUUUUUCAAGGCAUCUUGAGAAAGUUAAAGAUUUAUUGGUUAUGGAUGGGGAUGCGUUCCAUUAGAUAGUUGGUGAGGUAACGGCUCACCAAGUCUUCGAUGGAUAGGGGUUCUGAGAGGAAGGUCCCCCACAUUGGUACUGAGACACGGACCAAACUCCUACGGGAGGCAGCAGUGAGGAAUAUUGGUCAAUGGGCGAGAGCCUGAACCAGCCAAGUAGCGUGAAGGAAUGAAGGUCCUAUGGAUUGUAAACUUCUUUUAUAGUAGAAUAAAGUGAUCCACGUGUGGAUUUUUGUAUGUAUACUAUGAAUAAGGAUCGGCUAACUCCGUGCCAGCCGCGGC
rnacentral:rRNA from 1 species